AAGUGAAUCACUGGAUAUGGGGAGCGCGGGGCCUUCUGUACCUUGAGGGGACCAAUGCACCUUGUAUAGUCCACAUAUAGGGCGGAUCGGUACUGCUGUUAUUUUUACAAAAAAACAUGCUUGACUGCUUUUCUUUCCUGUGUUAACUGCAAAAGCCCUAAAAAGCCAAACCUGUAACCAAAGCUGUACAGACACUGGCCAGGGUUGCUGAAUAGCUGACUACACUGAAUUGAAAGAAAAUGGAUCAUCCUUACAUCUCUCUUGUUUUGCUCAUAUUCAUGGCCUGUUCAUCGAGUGCCGGGAAAACAUUCUGGACUCAUCAAGGAACUCGUUGUAUUGAAGACUGUAAGGCCUACUGGGGUGCAUACAAGUGCAAGACUAUUGAUAAAGAUGGACAGUGCCAGACAAUGUACUGUUCACCUAAAGAAAACAUAGACUACUGGGGCAGGCAGUGCAGUGAAACCAGUAAGUGCUGGAAGCGUGGUAAAAACUAUUCCUCCAAAACUGGUUUCUUACAUUGGGGAUACUGUGGGCUGGUAAUGGACGACAACAACCAUUAUGGAUCUUACACAGAUGCACAGUGUUAUGACAACUGUGAACAAAGAGGUGAAUCCUACUAUUGGUGCCAUACUGAACAGGGUUGGGAUUACUGUUCACCUAAUGAAAACACGGAUUACAUGAACAAGCAGUGUAAAGAAGACAGGCCAUGCGCAAAACGCAAUAGCAAGUACUACUGGUGUGCAGUGGAGGAAACCUGGGGUUACUGUGGCCUCGUGAAGCCAAAGAUGUUCUACUACUGGACUUAUGAAAAUUCUGUUUGCAUUGACGUAUGCCAUUAUUAUGAGAGAGGAGAUUACUACUGGUGCCACACAGACAAAGGCUGGGACUACUGCUCUCCAGAAGUGGAUGUAACUUAUAAAGGCACACCAUGUCGCUCAGAUCACUUCUGUGGUUUACAUGGCUAUAGUUACAACUGGUGCUGGACCUCAGGAUCAGGUUAUGAUUACUGUGGGCCCAUUGAAUCUGCAGAGUGCUCCUACGUCCCCUCUACACAUCU
rnacentral:lncRNA from 1 species